UAUUUAGGCACAGACCAAUGGUCUGUGUACCUAGGUAUAGGUACCUACCGUCAUGGCAAAGUGCAAACUUGGUGAGAUUUUGAAACAACUUUUUGAAACUUCUAUAAUUCGGCAAAUCAUUUACAUAGAUACUAAGCAUUGUGGAUUUGAUAUCAAAGACAUUAUUGGAAAUAAACCAAAGAUAAGGGAUAAUGAACAAGUAAAUUUUAAUAUGGAUUCGAAUUUGAAACCUCAAACAAUAUUAAGGUCCUCUAAAUUUUAAUUUCACAUACUCCAUUAAACUUUCAUAAUGAUGAGAUACCUAUUCGUUGCUUCGACUGCCCUUGCUAAUAGCUACGUUUUCUUAGUAAAAUGAAGAGCCAUGCAUCACCAUGGUAUCAUCAAACAGGAUUUUAUCAAGAUCCUUAUUGUGAAGAUAAAAUAACAGCGAAAUCCAAAAAUACCUCUAUAACUACACCGGUCAGCACUCAUCUAUGCACUUAUGGUAAGCUGGCUGACUCACACCCUGACUGCAAAACAGGGAUGGAAUGAAACAAUGAGAAAGGGUACAGAGAAGCUUACUGUAAAUUAAAAAGAACAAGAGGUUCAGGGAGACCAAUAUAAAGGAGAUCAAAACCUGAAAUGUAAAAAUAACAAAGAAGAAAUACGACAAGAGUAUAAAGAUUAUUUCAUUAUUCCCUAAAAAUAAUCAUCACCGAAAAUGAAAAAAAAAAAGAUAAAAGUAGCUAGCUCCUUAAAUUAUGUACCGCCAGUUGUCACCGGUGCCAUCCAGAUGUGGUGUCCCAAAUUUGGUACACCGUCUUCACCUCGCCCCUGCGUGCUGCGCAUACGCAAUUAGUGAGGAGAAUGUUUCGACGACACUAAGAAAUGUGUAAAUACCGACAACAAUGACAUUGUUCUUGACAUCGAAAGUGGAAUGACUUCUUAUUGUUACUACUUUUAGUAAAUUUGAGGAAAAAAUAUACGAAAAAGACGAAAUUAAAUAUUGGUGAG